rnacentral:rRNA from 1 species
UCGGAUCUAGUGGCGGACGGGUUAGUAACGCGUGGGAACGUACCCUUCACUACGGAAUAGUCCCGGGAAACUGGGUUUAAUACCGUAUACGCCCUUCGGGGGAAAGAAUUUCGGUGAGGGAUCGGCCCGCGUUAGAUUAGUUAGUUGGUGGGGUAAUGGCCUACCAAGACUACGAUCUAUAGCUGGUUUGAGAGGAUGAUCAGCAACACUGGGACUGAGACACGGCCCAGACUCCUACGGGAGGCAGCAGUGGGGAAUCUUAGACAAUGGGGGCAACCCUGAUCUAGCGAUGCCGCGUGAGUGAUGAAGGCCUUAGGGUCGUAAAGCUCUUUCGCCUGUGAUGAUAAUGACAGUAGCAGGUAAAGAAACCCCGGCUAACUCCGUGCCAGCAGCCGCGGUAAUACGGAGGGGGUUAGCGUUGUUCGGAAUUACUGGGCGUAAAGCGCACGUAGGCGGAUUAGUCAGUCAGAGGUGAAAUCCCAGGGCUCAACCCUGGAACUGCCUUUGAUACUGCUAGUCUUGAGUUCGAGAGAGGUAAGUGGAAUUCCGAGUGUAGAGGUGAAAUUCGUAGAUAUUCGGAGGAACACCAGUGGCGAAGGCGGCUUACUGGCUCGAUACUGACGCUGAGGUGCGAAAGUGUGGGGAGCAAACAGGAUUAGAUACCCUGGUAGUCCACACCGUAAACGAUGAAUGCCAGUCGUCGGGUAGCAUGCUAUUCGGUGACACACCUAACGGAUUAAGCAUUCCGCCUGGGGAGUACGGUCGCAAGAUUAAAACUCAAAGGAAUUGACGGGGGCCC